rnacentral:rRNA from 1 species
UACAGAGGGUGCGAGCGUUGUCCGGAAUCACUGGGCGUAAAGGGCGCGUAGGCGGCUUGAUAAGGUUGCGGUGAAAGCCCGGGGCUCAACCCCGGGUCGGCCGUGGCAACUGUCGAGCUGGAGCACUGUAGAGGCAGGUGGAAUUCCGGGUGUAGCGGUGGAAUGCGUAGAGAUCCGGAAGAACACCGGUGGCGAAGGCGGCCUGCUGGGCAGUGGCUGACGCUGAGACACGAAAGCGUGGGUAGCAAACAGG